CUUACACCGCAUCAUCAGUAACAAAUUAAUUAUAUUUUUUUUUAAAAAAAAUAUAAUAAAAAUAUUUUUCAAUUAAUUAUGAUGAGUAAAUCCGAAAGUACUGUUUGGUUCGGGUAUAAGUAAGAACUAGCUAUUACAGGGAUAGAUACAAAUAUGGGGAUAAAAAAAAUAGCGUUUGGAUGAAAAUCGGGUUGUUUCCGGGGAUAAGAAAAAUAACGUUUGAAUAGAUAAUAUGGAAUAAGAAAAAUAUUAAGUAGUUUUAUAUAAAAAAUGGAGGUGUUGGUGGGGAUAGUUAUAACCGGUUAUUAUAGAUAACCGAGAACUGUUUUUCUUAGGUAAAAAAUUAGCGUUUGGAUAUAAAGGGAAUAAGGGACUAUUCCUAUCCCUAUCCCCUAAUCAAACACUGCCAAAGGGGACAAUCCUAUUAGUUGGGGA
rnacentral:lncRNA from 1 species